UACGGAGGGGGCUAGCGUUGUUCGGAAUUACUGGGCGUAAAGCGCACGUAGGCGGCUUUGCAAGUUAGAGGUGAAAGCCCGGGGCUCAACUCCGGAAUUGCCUUUAAAACUGCAUCGCUAGAAUUGUGGAGAGGUAAGUGGAAUUCCGAGUGUAGAGGUGAAAUUCGUAGAUAUUCGGAAGAACACCAGUGGCGAAGGCGACUUACUGGACACAUAUGACGCUGAGGUGCGAAAGCGUGGGAGCAAACAGG
rnacentral:rRNA from 1 species